rnacentral:rRNA from 1 species
GGGUCAGUAGGUUGGUCGUGCCACCGGUACGUACUGGUCUCACUGAUUCCUCCUUCCUGAAGAACCGUAAUGCCAUUAAUUUGGUGUUGCGGGGAAACAGGACUGUUACUUUGAAAAAAUUAGAGUGUUUAAGGCAAGCUAACGCUUGAAUACAUUAGCAUGGAAUAAUGAAAUUGGACGAUCGAUCCUAUUUUGUUGGUUUCUAGGAUUGACGUA